rnacentral:rRNA from 1 species
CAAUAGCGUAUAUUAAAGUUGUUGCAGUUAAAAGCUCGUAGUUGGAUCUCGGGUCCAGGCUUGCGGUUCUGCUCGUGCAGACACUGCUCGUCCUGACCUACCUGCCGGUUUUCCCUUGGUGCCCUUGAUUGGGUGUCUCGGGUGGCCGGAACGUUUACUUUGAAAAAUUAGAGUGUUCAAAGCAUGCAACCGCUUUGAAUACAUUAGCAUGGAAUAACGCUAUAGGACUCUGGUCGUAUUGUGUUGGUCUUCGGGACCGGAGUAAUGAUUAAGAGGGACAGUUGGGGGCAUUCGUAUUUCAUUGUCAGAGGUGAAAUUCUUGGAUUUAUGAAAGACGAACUUCUGCGAAAGCAUUUGCCAAGGAUGUUUUCAUUAAUCAAGAACGAAAGUUGGGGGCUCGAAGACGAUUAGAUACCGU